UGAAACCUUAAAGUGCCUUUGGAAUUAGAAAAAGACUCAAUCAUCUUGAGUGAUGUUCUUACCUAACUUUUGGAAAAUAAACCUGCACAUCACAGCAUCCAUACAGCAACUAAUUCUGGAGAGUUUUGCGUGAGCCAGGGCCACGGGUGAGCAGCCACAGCCUUGCCUGAGUAACUGGAGCUGUUUUCACACCUGCUUCCCUGGCAGCUUCUGUUUCCUUUCCAAUGUUGUCAGGCUGAUAAAGUGUUCUAGUGAAUAAGAGAAAAACAUUACAGACUCACACAAUCUUUUCAAUUAGGUAGCAAUCGAUAGCUCUGCUUCUCAGAAAGAAAGCCCUAAAACCCGUGACCACCAAGCUCCCUUAACUCACAAGCACCCUAAGCUCUGAAGACGCCACAUCCAACCACCUACGAUUACAUCCCCAUUGUGUACGUGAACUGCACAAACGUAAGGUGUUUCAGUCAUAAAUUUAUCAUGAUAUUCCCUCACUAGUGUGUUGGUCAUAAGGAAACUGAUACUGUUUCCACCACAGUCUGUUAGAAGAGGAACCCGUUGGCCCCCACCUCCGCCAAGGUCCUGGAGGGCAGGCCCUGGGCCAUCUCGGGGCCACUCA
rnacentral:lncRNA from 1 species